CAGCAGCCAACGGUGUAUCUCU
rnacentral:sRNA from 1 species